AAGGACGGUAUCUUCACAUCGGUUCCUGCUACAGCCCGUGUCCGUCUCGCAAGCUGCAGUGAUGAACUUCAAGUUGCUGCUGGUGCUUCUCGUCGCGAUGGUAGCAGUCGUCGCGGCCGGCCGCGGAUACGGCCGCGGCUUUAGAGGCGGCUAUGGCGGAUACCGCGGCUACAGUCGUGGCUAUGGCGGAUACCGCGGCUACAGCCGUGGAGGCUACGGUGGCUACAGGGGCAACUAUGGCAGCUACGGCUACGGUCGCUAUGGCUAACACGGAUAACUGUCCACGCUGCUGAAUCGUCUGUACCUGCCUCCGUCAGCGAUGUCCUGCAAUGCCACACAACGUCCCCGCUCUGGGCUGCAAUAAAUACCAUGUCCGAAAC